rnacentral:lncRNA from 10 species
AAGGGGAAGAGCUAUCAAAAGAAUGUGUCACCUUUGAUAACCUGGUGCUUUUAUCUGCCUGAACUGGUUGGGAAAGUUCUACUAAAUACAGUACUAAAGAAAGUUGGUUUGUCCACAUUUCAUUGGUGACAUUCCCAGUGUAGAACCUUUUCAUGCUUUGUUAUUGAAUAGCUCUCAAAAUUUAAAGUUGAUGCAAUAUUAUUUGUAUGCUGAUGAAAAUACUUGAUGUAUUUUUAAAAUUUCAGUGGUUGACAUUUUGGCCACUGGGUGUCAUCACAGAUCUAGGUUUUAAAAUGUGCAGUUGUCACUUGCUGACUGAAAUUAACUAAUAGAGUCUGAUGAGGCUUAAUGGUACAUCUUCAUCAUUUGACCUUCAUACAUUGAGUAUCAAUCUCCACUAUAGGAAAUUGUUUAUAAAGUACAAUUUGGAUACUUUUUAGUCUUUCUUUACAACACAUCACAUGGAUAGAAGGAAAAUUUCUUCUAACAAUGUCUGGAGUGAGCCUUGAGUGGGGAAGUGUGGUGGGAAGGCUGAGAUAGAAAGAGGACACGUAAAUGAUUAAGCUACUGCCUUACUAGAGGACCAGCGCCAACCGAAAAGAAAGAUGUAUUCCCAGCCUGGUGCGGUGGCUCAAGCCUGUAAUCCCAGCGCUUUGGGAGGCCGAGGCAGGUGGAUCACUUAAGGCCAGGGCUGUGAGACCAGCCUGGCCAACAUGACGAAACCCCAUCUCUACUAAAAAUACAAAAACAAUUAGCCAGGCAUGGUGGCGCACGCCUCUAAUCUCAGCUGCUUGGGAGUCUGAGGCACAAGAAUCGCUUGAAUCCGGAGGCAGAGGUUGCAGUGAGCCGAGAUCGUGCCACUGCACUCCAGCCUGGGUAACAGAGCAAGACUGUCUCAAAACACACACACACACACACACACACACACACACACACACGUAUUCCCUAAGCUACCCAGAUCUAUCACCUGGUUACCUCAGGCCAUUACCAUGACCUCUAUCUUAAUUUCUUUUAAUCCUCACAACCUCUAUAAAGCACUUUUAUUUCAUUUAUUUUACAGGUGUGGAAAUUGAGGCACAGAAAGGUUAAUGAUUAUACCCAGGGCCAGACACUAGGUGCUAGAUCCAAAAUUUAAGACA